rnacentral:rRNA from 1 species
CAUACGACCGUACCGCAAACCGACACUGGUGCGCGAGAUGAGUAUUCUAAGGCGCUUGAGAGAACUCAGGAGAAGGAACUCGGCAAAUUGACACCGUAACUUCGGAAGAAGGUGUGCCCUAUUAGUGUGUAGUGAACAACGAAGCAUGAAUGGGUUGCAAAAAAUCGGUGGCUGCGACUGUUUAUUAAAAACACAGCACUCUGCAAACACGAAAGUGGACGUAUAGGGUGUGACGCCUGCCCGGUGCUGGAAGAUUAAAUGAUGGGGUGCAAGCUCUUGAUUGAAGUCCCAGUAAACGGCGGCCGUAACGAUAACGGUCCUAAGGUAGCGAAAUUCCUUGUCGGGUAAGUUCCGACCUGCACGAAUGGCGUAACGAUGGCCACACUGUCUCCUCCUGAGACUCAGCGAAGUUGAAAUGUUUGUGAUGAUGCAAUCUCCCCGCGGAAAGACGGAAAGACCCCAUGAACCUUUACUGUAGCUUUGUAUUGGACUUUGAACAGAUCUGUGUAGGAUAGGUGGGAGGCUUUGAAGCAGGGUCGCUAGAUCUUGUGGAGCCAACGUUGAAAUACCACCCUGGUGUGUUUGAGGUUCUAACCUAGGUCCAUUAUCUGGAUCGGGGACAGUGCAUGGUAGGCAGUUUGACUGGGGCGGUCUCCUCCCAAAGCGUAACGGAGGAGUUCGAAGGUACGCUAGUUACGGUCGGACAUCGUGACGAUAGUGCAAUGGCAUAAGCGUGCUUAACUGCGAGACUGACAAGUCGAGCAGAUGCGAAAGCAGGACAUAGUGAUCCGGUGGUUCUGUAUGGAAGGGCCAUCGCUCAACGGAUAAAAGGUACUCUGGGGAUAACAGGCUGAUACCGCCCAAGAGUUCAUAUCGACGGCGGUGUUUGGCACCUCGAUGUCGGCUCAUCUCAUCCUGGGGCUGUAGCCGGUCCCAAGGGUAUGGCUGUUCGCCAUUUAAAGAGGUACGUGAGCUGGGUUUAAAACGUCGUGAGACAGUUUGGUCCCUAUCUUCCGUGGGCGCUGCAGAUUUGAGGAAGCCUGCUCCUAGUACGAGAGGACCGGAGUGGACACACCUCUGGUGUAUCGGUUGUCACGCCAGUGGCAUUGCCGAGUAGCUAAGUGUGGAAGAGAUAACCGCUGAAAGCAUCUAAGCGGGAAACUCGUUUCAAGAUGAGAUCUGCCGGGGCCUUGAGCCCCCUAAAGAGUCGUUCAAGACCAGGACGUUGAUAGGUCAGGUGUGGAAGCGU